AGAAUCAACGCUGGCGGCGUGCCUAACACAUGCAAGUCGCACGAGAAAGGGACUUCGGUCCUGAGUACAGUGGCGCACGGGUGAGUAACACGUGAAUAAUCUACCUCCGAGUGGGGAAUAACUGAGAGAAAUCUUAGCUAAUACCGCAUAACACUUACGAGUCAAAGCAGCAAUGCGCUUGGAGAGGAGUUCGCGGCAGGAUUAGUUAGUUGGCGGGGUAAUGGCCCACCAAGACGAUGAUCUGUA
rnacentral:rRNA from 1 species